AUCCAACUGAGGAGUCCUUAAUAGGAGAAAACGCGCGUCCUGAAU
rnacentral:hammerhead_ribozyme from 1 species